GCGAGAGUGGCGGAAUUGGUAGACGCACCAGAUUUAGGUUCUGGCGCCGAAAGGUGUGGGGGUUCGAGUCCCCCCUUUCGCACCA
rnacentral:tRNA from 4 species